GGCGGCGUGCUUAACACAUGCAAGUCGAGCGGUAAGGCCCUUCGGGGUACACGAGCGGCGAACGGGUGAGUAACACGUGGGUAACCUGCCCUGUACUCUGGGAUAAGCCUGGGAANCUAGGUCUAAUACCGGAUACGAGCCUUCCUCGCAUGGGGUUGGUUGGAAAGUUCCGGCGGUACAGGAUGGACCCGCGGCCUAUCAGCUUGUUGGUGGGGUAAUGGCCUACCAAGGCGACGACGGGUAGCCGGCCUGAGAGGGUGACCGGCCACACUGGGACUGAGACACGGCCCNANCNCAUACGC
rnacentral:rRNA from 1 species